AGUAACGCGUGGGUAACCUGCCUUAUACAGGGGGAUAACAGUCAGAAAUGACUGCUAAUACCGCAUAAGCGCACAGCACCGCAUGGUACAGUGUGAAAAACUCCGGUGGUGUGAGAUGGAUCCGCGUCUGAUUAGCCAGUUGGCGGGGUAACGGCCCACCAAAGCGACGAUCAGUAGCCGACCUGAGAGGGUGACCGGCCACAUUGGGACUGAGACACGGCCCAA
rnacentral:rRNA from 1 species